AUGUGAAGGGUGAUUGCAGAUUAUGACAUCUUUGGGUUAAUAGCCCCUGAUGUCACCACCAUUUUGUUUAACCCUUAGGAUUUUAGAUAGCCCCUAUGCUUUUUUCUCUUUGAAGACCUUUCACAGUGGUAAGAGCAGCUAAAAAUAACUUGGACCACACUUGCACUGCAGAUCUUCCCUCACCUUGGAACAAGUGAUGCCCACUUCUGGGGUUUUAUCCAAGCCAGCUAUUAACCAUCUUCUGCAGACUGGUCCUUAUGAAGCCUCAAUCCAUGCAAAAAUGUAUGUGCUCAUGUGCUUCAGACUUUGGUUUUCAAAUAACUGUGCUGUUUAUUGGGUUGUAUUACUUGCCGUUGUGCUUUCUAAAACAAAGCUCCUCAGAGCUGACCACAUAUGAAGUGCCAGGAAAUGUAAAUAAUAUCUCAUUUUGCAUCAGCUUUUGCACUUAGGGAUUAUCGCGGAACAUGAUGGUUUGGAAUAAUAUGAUGGAAUAUGGUUUGGGUUGGAGGGAUUCAAACAUCAUCCAGUCCCAACCCCUCUGAAAUAAGAAGGUACAUCUUCAACUAAAUCAGGUUUCUGGAAGCCCCAUUCAACCUUGAUUGUUUUCAGAGAUGGGAUAUCUACCAUCUCUCUGGGCAAUUUGUGUCACUGUUUCACCAUUUACGUGUGCCUAAGUUUUGUGUGAGCUGWGUGUAAGCCUAAUAGCCCAGGAUAAUGCCUUCAGCACUUUCUGUCUAGCUCUUUGCUGCAGUAUGUGUUCAGACUAGGCGCUUGCCGAAGUUAGGGAAUCAAUCAGGAGAGAAGUUUGUUUCCUUAUCCCUACCAUUUCUUCUCCRCAUUAAACAUAAUUAAAGCAAAUACUUGUACAAUCAUGCCUUACCUGCCAUGCCACCUCUGUUGGUGUCAAAAGRUUUAAAAGAUAUUUUGAUGAAGGGUACAAAGAUUGUUCUUUGUUUUUGUAGUGUGGUCAGUGUGGUGAAGAAGCUGCUCUGGGAGGACCCAUAUAUGAAGUCAUAUUCUCUGCAGUCAGGAGGGUCACAUGGAAACAGAUCAUUAUCCUAAGCUUUGAUGAAAGUCUGCAGUGCUUGUGCAAGAAGAUCCCUCAGUGACUAUCACUGCUCUGAUGGGUAAAUCACAGGGCAAAUGAGAGUGUAGGCGAUGCUCAGUCACCUUAUCAGAAACCAGUUGUCUCUCCACGUGUAUUGGCRGAAAAGUGAGCCUUUAUCGGAAAACUGGAACUCUUGUUGAAAAGAACAAUUUGAGCUUUAAGUGUGGAUUUCUUCUAUUUAGGGCCACAUCAAAUAAUUAUUUCUGGAAUGCUGUAGAAGUCUAAUGGGACCCUGCACUCUAUAAGGAUCCACAACCUUAUUUCAUUGUCCUCACAACACUGUCCUUUCUCUGUGAGGUCCUGCCUAGCCAUUAUGGGCUCAAWAUAAAGGCACAGAGGCUCCUGUUCCAUAGGGUCUCGGUCUCUUUCCCACUCAGCUGCAGGACAGAAGAAUGAAGUGCUCUGCUCCCACUGGUUCAGGACUGCAGCCCUGAUGUUCCUGCUGUGUGUGAAGUGUUGCUGGGGCUCUCCUUCCUCACCUGCAGCAGCUGACCUCUAUGCAACUCACUGUGAUGUGUGCAAAUAAGCUUGUCUCUUUAUUUAUAAGUCACUCUGAUGUCCAUGUUGCAUGUCAGCUUCUAAAACAUUCUGAGUCCAACAGCRGUUCUGAGCAGUGCCAGUGACCAGGCACCAGACUUGGCAGCUCUCUGCUUGUUAAUCCACCCAGAUCCAGGCAUGCAUUGGCGAGGGAAGAGGAUAACCAGAAUAUCACAACUAUAUCUGGAUUGCAAAGGUUGUAGAAGCCCUCGCAACAGAUGGAAGUUUCCUUCAGCAUGUACCUGUGUAUUCUGCCUGGUGAUGCUGCUGCCCAAAGCAAACAAUGAAAGAUGAAACAAAAGUGGCSUGAGAAUGGAGGUGGUACAGUCCUUGACCUGCAGUCCUUAGGAAGGAGCGGAACAUCCUGGGAGCUGGAAACA